rnacentral:rRNA from 1 species
UACGUAGGGGGCAAGCGUUGUCCGGAAUUAUUGGGCGUAAAGAGCUCGUAGGCGGUUUGUCGCGUCUGCUGUGAAAACCCGAGGCUCAACCUCGGGCCUGCAGUGGGUACGGGCAGACUAGAGUGCGGUAGGGGAGAUUGGAAUUCCUGGUGUAGCGGUGGAAUGCGCAGAUAUCAGGAAGAACACCAACGGCGAAGGCAGCUCGCUAGGACGGUACUGACGCUGAGACGCGAAAGCGUGGGGAGCGAACAGG